UGGGGAAUAUUGGACAAUGGGCGAAAGCCUGAUCCAGCCAUACCGCGUGUGUGAAGAAGGUCUUCGGAUUGUAAAGCACUUUAAGUUGGGAGGAAGGGCAGUAAGCGAAUACCUUGCUGUUUUGACGUUACCGACAGAAUAAGCACCGGCUAACUCUGUGCCAGCAGCCGCGGUAAUACAGAGGGUGCAAGCGUUAAUCGGAAUUACUGGGCGUAAAGCGCGCGUAGGUGGUUCGUUAAGUUGAAUGUGAAAGCCCCGGGCUCAACCUGGGAACUGCAUCCAAAACUGGCGAGCUAGAGUAGGGCAGAGGGUGGUGGAAUUUCCUGUGUAGCGGUGAAAUGCGUAGAUAUAGGAAGGAACACCAGUGGCGAAGGCGACCACCUGGGCUCAUACUGACACUGAGGUGCGAAAGCGUGGGGAGCAAACAGG
rnacentral:rRNA from 1 species